rnacentral:rRNA from 1 species
UGCCAGCCGCCGCGGUAAUACGGAGGGGGUUAGCGUUGUUCGGAAUUACUGGGCGUAAAGCGCACGUAGGCGGACUGGAAAGUUGGGGGUGAAAUCCCAGGGCUCAACCCUGGAACUGCCUCCAAAACUAUCAGUCUAGAGUUCUAGAGAGGUGAGUGGAAUUCCGAGUGUAGAGGUGAAAUUCGUAGAUAUUCGGUGGAACACCAGUGGCGAAGGCGACUAACUGGACUGAUACUGACGCUGAGGUGCGAAGGCGUGGGUAGCGAACGGGAUUAGAUA